ACGGAGGGUGCGAGCGUUAUUCGGAAUUACUGGGCGUAAAGCGCGUGCAGGCGGGGGGGCAAGUCUGAUGUGAAAACCCUGGGCUUAACCCGGGGAGGGCACUGGAAACUGUCUUUCUUGAGUACUGGAGAGGAAGGGGGAAUUCCCGGUGUAGAGGUGAAAUGCGUAGAUAUCGGGAGGAAUACCAGUGGCGAAGGCGCCCUUCUGGACUGUUACUGACGCUGAGACGCGAAAGCGUGGGGAGCGAACAG
rnacentral:rRNA from 1 species